rnacentral:rRNA from 1 species
CAGCCGUAAACUAUGCGCGUUAGGUGUGCUGGUGACCACGUGUCACCGGGGUGCCGAAGGGAAACCGUGAAACGUGCCGCCUAGGAAGUACGGUCGCAAGGCUGAAACUUAAAGGAAUUGGCGGGGGAGCACCACAACGGGUGGAGCUUGCGGUUUAAUUGGACUCAACGCCGGAAAUCUCACCGGAUAGGACAGACAAAUGAUAGUCGGGCUGAAGACUCUACUUGAUGAUCUGAGAGGAGGUGCAUGGCGUCAGUGACU